UCGUGGGUGUGGGGAUACCUCUUCACAAAGGCAACCGGUGCCUCUGCUGAGAAGCCCUUCCCCCGCAGAGGAGAAAUGGGUGCUGUUCUUGCUCCCCAGGGCGCCCUGCUGUUCCCAGGGUGUGUGGGUUCCUCAGUACUGCUAAUGAAGGCGUCCCAUCCUCAUUCCCAGCCCGGGAAAUUAAUUUAGAUUGGAUUUUCUCCUGUGAGGGCCACCCCCCUCCUUUGUAUCAUUACCAUAAUGAGAUGGAAGUGGCACGGUAGUUUAACGACAUUAGUCAGGAGAGAGUGUUUGUGUAGCUGAGGCAAGUGAGGGAGAGGCAGAGCUGGGGGCCGGGGGCAGGGACAUAGCGGUUCCUGCACGGGCCCUGGUUGAUGCCCUUCCUGAUGGGGCCUGGCACAGGGUGACAGGCACGUGAUGCGGGGAGCACCUCUGAAAGCAGAGGCCUGGGCAGGCCUUCAGUGGGGACACAGCUCGAGUCCACCCUGGAGGUCAAGAGGGGGCCUCUUCACGUUCCAAGAUGAGUGACCAGGCAGGCAAGGGCCCUGGACAAAUUCAGGUCCUUCCUUCUUUCUUCCCUGGAGGGUGAGGAGGCAGUCCUGUCUGUGGCUGCUCCAGAAGGUUCUCUGGGCCCAGGGCAGGGGGCCCACCUACCUCCUCUGCUUCUUCUCCAGCUCGUGGUUGCGGACCUGCUGGCCCUCCAGGUGCAGCUUGGUAUCCUGCAGCUCAGCCGUCAGCCGCUGGCACUUCUUCUUGAGCUGCUGCAGAGCCCGCUGACUCUCCUCACUGUCUGCCUGCAGGUCCCCGAGCUAGGGGCCGAGACGGGGUGCAUAUACAGAGAGGCCCGGAAGCAUUGGUGGAGAAGGCCAGGCCUGCCUGCCCCCAGCCUUCACUGGACGGACACAAGGCACCAGUUCCCCUCCUGGUCCUCUCAAGCACAGGCCUCGGCUCCUCCCCAGCCUCACCCGCCGCUCCAGCUGCCUCUUGUUCUGCUGCUCCACCUCCAGCUUGUCCUCAAACUCCUGCUGGAGCCGUUUCUUGGUGAAGUCCACCUCCCGCACAGCCCGCUCAUACUUCAGCCGCCACUCGCCACCUGUGGGGUUGAGGCAGACAAGGGAGGAUGGAGGUGCUGAGAGUCCCCAGAAGGGGCAGAGGGGAAGGAGGAUGGGGCAGGGGGAGCAGCAGGUGGAGUCAGCCAGGGCUCAGAAAGCUCUCUGUAAUGACGGCUUCCUCCCAAGGCAGAAGGAGCCACUAGCCAGGAGAAGACCAGAGCGAGAGAUGUGGCUACAUGUGCUGUGCCUCCCCCAGGGACUGAUGGGACCACGGCCCUCAGUCUUUGUCAUGAUCGUGGUUGUUACAGCUCUGCCUAACAAUCCCCUGCAUUUAUUGGCACCUCUGCCUUCUCAUCUGUUUCUUUCACUUUAGCUCAUGGAGGGGAGACAGGCCUGGACAAGGGACAUGACUACCCAGGGGUGGGCAUCAGGGCUCGCAUCGCAGGCCACUGCUGAGCUGCUUGGGCCUCAGGCCCACCUGCAUCAUCAUCAUCCACUUCCCCGUUGAUCUCCGCUGCCCGGAUGAGACGGGCCUCCAUCACUUCCAUUUCCAUAACCUCCAUCUGCUUCUUCAGUGCAUCAUACUGGGUCUGCAGAAGACGGGGUUUCAGGGUAUGCCAUUCUGUCCCCUCAUACCCACUCCCCGAACCACACAGACCAUGCUCACAUGCUUACCCAGGGCAGACAGGGAUGCUGGGAUAGGGGUGAAGACGCCAACUGUUUUUGGGGGGAGCCAGUGGGCACUAUGGUGUGGCAGUCACCAGCCUGCUGUUCUCACCCAGGCCCUGCCCUCACCUGCAAUUCCUUCAUCUCCUUCUCAGCCCGGAGCCUCUCUGCUGUCUCCGCGUCCAGCAGCUGGGAGGCAGACUCUCCUGUGUUACGCUCAUCUGUCAGCUCCGAUGUCAGCUCCGAGAUCUGGGGUUGGGGGUAGGGAGUCACCACCAAUUGAAGUGCCUGCCUCACUCAGCCAGAACACCUGGGGGACCUGCAGGGGCUGCGUCUCCCUGCAGCCAUGCCCAGUUGGUGUGGUGCCAGGAGUCACUCACCCGGCUCUCCAGCCGGUCACUGUUGAGCCGCAGCUCGUUCCGCUCCUUCUCCACCUUCUCGAGCUUGCUCCGCAGCUGCUGGAUCUCCUCCUAGGGUGGACCAAAGAGGGCAAAGUGAGCCAAAGGCACUGCGAGGGGGUGGGGCCCUGGGUCUGCACCCCUGUAGUGAACGAAGUUGAUGAAGCUUGGGCCAGGACACCAUGGGAGGAAGCAUGUCCCCAAUAGCAGAGCCACUGCCUCCUGGGAAUCCUGUCCCUAGACCCUUCCCAAUAAGCUAGAGAUGCCCAAGAUUUUAUCGUUAAGAGGCUGCCCAGGGGCUCAGCCAGCACCCCAGAGGGUCAUCUUCUGUUUGCUGGGCACAUUUCAAGGAUGUGAGCUCUCUGGACUAAAUGAAGAAGCGCUUGGAAGUUCAAGCUAAACCGGCAAGGCUUCCCCUCACCCAGAGACUUGGCCCUCCCAGGCUGUCACAUACGUCUUUGUUCCGGAUCUGCUCCUCUGACAGCUGUACUUCAAUGAGGGGCCUCACUGUGGUAAAGAGCUUCCACCAGGGCCAGUCCUUCACCCCUUUGUUCUUCUUGAUGUUCUUCUGAACACAGCGAAUGGCCAGGUCCUGGAUCUGCAGGUGGGGUGGGGGUGGCGCACAGUGCAGUUCUCAGUCACCUUGGCCAAGCUCGGCCCAGGAUCCUCCCCACCAUCAGCACAGGCCCCCAGGGCUGCUCCUCUGGCCUCCUGACCCCGAGUCAGAUAUUUCCCAUGCUCCCCCUUGCCCCAGGCUCCCUCCAUCCCUCAGAGGGUGGGCAGCACAGAACCCAGCCCUGGGAGCACCGCGCUGGGCACUAGCCGCUCCGCUGCCAUUAGGAAUAAUUUCAUCUGCUUUAUUUGCUGCCUGAUUAUUUCCAGCACCCUGGCCUAGCUGUGCUAUAAAACCUAAUCUUGCUGAAACACAA